CCUACGGGAGGCAGCAGUGAGGAAUAUUUGUCAAUGGACGAGAGUCUGAACCAGCCAAGUCGCGUGAAGGAUGACUGCCCUAUGGGUUGUAAACUUCUUUUAUAUGGGAAUAAAACGUUCCACGUGUGGGAUUUUGUAUGUACCUUAUGAAUAAGGAUCGGCUAACUCCGUCCCAGCAGCCGCGGUAAUACGGAGGGUCCGAGCGUUCUCCGGAUUUGUUGGGUUUAAAGGGAGCGUAGGUGGAUUGUUAAGUCAGUUGUGAAAGUUUGCGGAUCAACCGUAAAAUUGCAGUUGAAACUGGCAGUCUUGAGUACAGUAGAGGUGGGCGGAAUUCGUGGUGUAGCGGUGAAAUGCUUAGAUAUCACGAAGAACACCGAUUGCGAAGGCAGUUAACUGGACUGCAACUGACACUGAGGCUCGAAAGUGUGGGGAUCAAACAGGAUUAGAUACCCUAGUAGUC
rnacentral:rRNA from 1 species